AGCGGGGUAGAGCAGUUGGCAGCUCGCCAGGCCCAUAACCUGGAGGUCAUCGGUUCAAAUCCGAUCCCCGCAACUA
rnacentral:tRNA from 5 species